rnacentral:rRNA from 1 species
AACGUAGGAGGCAAGCGUUAUCCGGAGUUACUGGGCGUAAAGCGCAUGUAGGCGGUUGGACAAGUUGAGUGUGAAAGCUCCCGGCUAAACUGGGAGAGGACAUUCAAGACUGUUCGACUAGAGGAUGGUAGAGGGGCGUAGAAUUCCGGGUGUAGCGGUGAAAUGUGUAGAGAUCCGGAGGAACACCGGUGGCGAAGGCGGCUUCCUGGACUGACACUGACGCUGAGGCGCGAAAGCUAGGGGAGCAAACGGG